rnacentral:rRNA from 1 species
GGCUCGUAGGCGGUUCGUCGCGUCCGGUGUGAAAGUCCAUCGCUUAACGGUGGAUCUGCGCCGGGUACGGGCGGGCUGGAGUGCGGUAGGGGAGACUGGAAUUCCCGGUGUAACGGUGGAAUGUGUAGAUAUCGGGAAGAACACCAAUGGCGAAGGCAGGUCUCUGGGCCGUUACUGACGCUGAGGAGCGAAAGCGUGGGGAGCGAACA